rnacentral:rRNA from 1 species
GAUGAACGCUAGCUACAGGCUUAACACAUGCAAGUCGAGGGGAAACGACAUCGAAAGCUUGCUUUUGAUGGGCGUCGACCGGCGCACGGGUGAGUAACGCGUAUCCAACCUGCCCAUCACUUGGGAAUAACCUUGCGAAAGUAAGACUAAUACCCAAUGAUAUCCCACGAAGGCAUCGGAAUGGGAUUAAAGAUUUAUCGGUGAUGGAUGGGGAUGCGUCUGAUUAGCUUGUUGGCGGGGUAACGGCCCACCAAGGCAACGAUCCGUAGGGGUUCUGAGAGGAAGGUCCCCCGCAUUGGAACUGAGACACGGUCCAAACUCCUACGGGAGGCAGCAGUGAGGAAUAUUGGUCAAUGGGCGAGAGCCUGAACCAGCCAAGUAGCGUGCAGGAAGACGGCCAUAUGGGUUGUAAACUGCUUUUAUAAGGGAAUAAAGUGGGUCACGUGUGACUUUUUGCAUGUACCUUAUGAAUAAGGACCGGCUAAUUCCGUG